rnacentral:rRNA from 1 species
UGGGGAAUAUUGGACAAUGGGGGCAACCCUGAUCCAGCAAUGCCGCGUGCAGGAAGAAGGCCCUAUGGGUCGUAAACUGCUUUUGAACAAGAGAAAACCCCGGUACGUGUACUGGGUUGAUAGUAUUGUUAGAAUAAGCAUCGGCUAACUUCGUGCCAGCAGCCGCGGUAAGACGAAGGAUGCAAGCGUUAUCCGGAUUCAUUGGGUUUAAAGGGUGCGUAGGCGGACUGAUAAGUCAGUGGUGAAAUCUCUCGGCUUGACCGAGAAACUGCCAUUGAUACUGUUAGUCUAGAGUACAGAUGAUGUGGGCGGAAUAUGACAUGUAGUGGUGAAAUACUUAGAUAUGUCAUAGAACACCGAUUGCGAAGGCAGCUCACAAAACUGUAACUGACGCUGAGGCACGAAAGUGCGGGGAUCAAACAGGAUUAGAUACCCAUGUAGUCCCUGAGCGGGCUGGCAAGGCGCAU